rnacentral:rRNA from 1 species
AUGGAGAUGAUUGCACACGAAUGGGCUAAGCCAGUUACGGGAAGGACACAUGUCGAGAGAUGGCAGAAUAAAAUUAGACACCUUCGACAAUUUCUGAGAGGUUGGGCCAGAAAUGAGAGUGGAAUUUAUAAGCAGGAAAAAGAGCGUCUUACUCAACUCAUUGAGGCACUAGAUGUAAAGGCUGAAAUCACUCUCCUUUCUGUUAAUGAGCAUCGAACCAAGUCCGGGGCUGAGCAAGGCCUACGUGCUCUCCUGAGAGAGGAGGAGCUCAAGUGGGCGUUGUGUGCGAAAACGCUUAAGGUUGUCCAAGGAGACGACGACACACAGUUCUUCCAUAUGGUUGCAAAUGAUAAACAUAGGAAGAAGAAGAUCAUACAGCUUGAACAGGACGAGGGGACAAUAGUGGGGCAUGAAAAUCUAAAAGCGUAUAUUUCCAACUAUUAUAAAAACCUUUUUGGGCCCCCGAAUACAUCCACGGUGUCUCUUGAUGAGUCUUUGAUUGAUGAUGUACCUCAAUUACAGGGCACCGUUUACUGA